AGCGAACGUUAGCGGCGGGCUUAACACAUGCAAGUCGAACGCGAAAGGGCUUCGGCCCCGGUAGCGUGGCGUCCGGGUGAGUAACACGUAGGGAAUCUACCCUGGAGCGGGGGAUAACGUUCCGAAAGGAACGCUAAUACCGCGUAAGACCACGACGGCUACGGCCGAUGCGGUCAAAGAUGGCCUCUAUUCAUAAGCUAUCGCUCUAGGAUGACCCUGCGGCCCAUCAGCUAGUUGGUAGGGUAAUGGCCUACCAAGGCGAAGACGGGUAGCUGGUCUGAGAGGAUGAUCAGCCACACUGGCACUGAAACACGGGCCAGACUCCUACGGGAGGCUG
rnacentral:rRNA from 1 species